UUUAGCUCAAUUGGAUAGAGCGUUUGGCUUCGGACCAAAAGGUUGAGGGUUCAACUCCUUUAA
rnacentral:tRNA from 1 species